AAUAUUGGACAAUGGGGGCAACCCUGAUCCAGCCAUGCCGCGUGGGUGAAGAAGGUCUUCGGAUUGUAAAGCACUUUAAGUUGGGAGGAAGGGCUUUAGGUUAAUACCCUGAAGUUUUGACGUUACCAACAGAAUAAGCACCGGCUAACUCUGUGCCAGCAGCCGCGGUAAUACAGAGGGUGCAAGCGUUAAUCGGAAUUACUGGGCGUAAAGAGCGAGUGGGUGGUUGAGUAAGAUGGAUGUGAGAGCACCGGGCUUACCCUGGGAACUGCUUUCAUAACUGCUGAGCUAGAGUACGGUAGAGGGUAGUGGAAUUUCCUGUGUAGCGGUGAAAUGCGUAGAUAUAGGAAGGAACACAAGUGGCGAAGGCGACUACCUGGACUGAUACUGACACUGAGGUGCGAAAGCGUGGGGAGCAAAC
rnacentral:rRNA from 1 species